UACUGAUAAUGGCAAACCUGUCGAAAGGCAGGGACGCAAAGCUAUAGGGCCUUCUGUAAAAAUUAUAGAUGGCAGCCAGUUACCAAA
rnacentral:ncRNA from 2 species